GCGGGAGUAGCUCAGCUGGUUAGAGCAUCAGCCUUCCAAGCUGAGGGUCGCGGGUUCGAGUCCCGUUUCCCGCUCCA
rnacentral:tRNA from 2 species